rnacentral:rRNA from 2 species
ACUGCUAUCGGGAUAGGACUAAGACAUGCUAGUCGUGCGCUUCAGCCAAAACGAGGCGCGGCAUACAGCUCAGUAACACGUGGCUAAUCUGCCCUUGGGACGAAAACAACCCCGGGAAACUGGGGCUAAUUUUCGAUAGGUGAAGAACUCUGGAAUGAGUCUUCGCUUAAAAAGCUUCACGUUAUGCUCGUGAGGUCGCCCAAGGAUGAGGCCGCGACCGAUCAGGUUGUUGGUGAGGUAAUGGCUCACCAAGCCUUUUACCGGUGCGGGCCGUGAGAGCGGGAGCCCGGAGAUGGGCACUGAGACAAGGGCCCAGGCCCUACGGGGCGCAGCAGUCGCGAAAACUUUGCAAUACACGAAAGUGUGACAGGGCUAUCCCGAGUGCCAUCCGCUGAGGAAGGCUUUUACCCAGUCUAGAACGCUGGGGGAAUAAGGAGAGGGCAAGUCUGGUGUCAGCCGCCGCGGUAAUACCAGCUCUCCGAGUGGUGUGGAUGUUUAUUGGGCCUAAAGCAUCCGUAGCUGGCUAGGUAAGUCCCUUGUUAAAUCCACCGAAUUAAUCGUUGGAUUGCGGGGGAUACUGCUUGGCUAGGGGACGAGAGAGGCAGACGGUAUUUCCGGGGUAGGGGUGAAAUCCUAUAAUCCCGGGAAGACCACCAGUGGCGAAGGCUGUCUGCUAGAACGCGCCCGACGGUGAGGGAUGAAAGCUGGGGGAGCGAACCGGAUUAGAUACCCGGGUAGUCCCAGCUGUAAACGAUGCAGGCUAGGUGUUUGGACGGCCACGUGCCGUUCUAGUGCCGCAGGGAAGCUGUUAAGCCUGCCGCCUGGGGAGUACGAUCGCAAGAUUGAAACUUAAAGGAAUUGGCGGG